GCUAGUAAUGGCAGGUCAGCAUACUGCCGUGAAUACGUUCCCGGGCCUUGUACACACCGCCCGUCACACCAUGAGAGUUGGAAAUACCCGAAGCCUGUGGGCUAACUGUAAAGAGGCAGCAGUCGAAGGUAGAGCCAAUGAUUGGGGUGAAGUCGUAACAAGGUACC
rnacentral:rRNA from 1 species